AUUGAACGCUGGCGGCAGGCUUAACACAUGCAAGUCGAGCGGGGGAGGUUGCUUCGGUAACUGACCUAGCGGCGGACGGGUGAGUAAUGCUUAGGAAUCUGCCUAUUAGUGGGGGACAACAUUCCGAAAGGGAUGCUAAUACCGCACACGCCCUACGGGGGAAAGCAGGGGAUCUUCGGACCUUGCGCUAAUAGAUGAGCCUAAGUCGAAUUAGCUAGUUGGUGGGGGAAAGGCCUACCAAGGCGACGAUCUGUCGCGAGUAUGAGAGGAUGAUCAGGCACACUGAGACUGAGACCAGGCGCAGACUCCUACGGGAGGAAGCAGUGGGGAAUAUUGGACAAUGGGAGGAAGCCUGAUCCAGCCAUGCCGCGUGUGUGAAGAAGGCCAUUUGGUUGUAAGGCACUUUAAGCGAGGAGGAGGCUACUAGUACUAAUACUACUGGAUAGUGGACGUUACACACAGAAUAAGCACCGGCUAACUCUGUGCCAGCCGCCGCAGUAAAAC
rnacentral:rRNA from 1 species